rnacentral:lncRNA from 1 species
UUGGCACCACGACCUUCGGGCGCUUAUUUUUGGACGCGGCUGUGCCCGCGACUUCCCGCGGGCACCCCGAGGCCCCUCGCAAAGUCUCGCCCCAUUCCGAGUCCGGUGGACGAACUUCGCCCGCGCCCCCCACCAAGGCUAUAGCCCACCCAUUUUUUGGCCAUUUUUCCGCUGGGGGGUUUUGGCACCACGACCUUCGGGCGCUUAUUUUUGGGCGCGGCCUUGCCCACGGCUUAUUUUUGGCACCCCGAGGCCCCUCGCAAAGUCUCGCCCCAUUCCGAGUCCGGCGGACGAACUUCGCCAGCGCCCCCCACCAAGGCUAUAGCCCACCCGUUUUUUGGCCAUUUUUCCGCUGGGGGGUUUUGGCACCACGACCUUCGGGCGCUUAUUUUUGGACGCGGCUGUGCCCGCGACUUCCCGCGGGCACUCCGAGGCCCCUCGCAAAGUCUCGCCCCAUUCCGAGUCCGGCGGACGAACUUCGCCCGCGCCCCCCACCAAGGCUAUAGCCCACCCGUUUUUUGGCCAUUUUUCCGCUGGGGGGUUUUGGCACCACGACCUUCGGGCGCUUAUUUUUGGGCGCGGCUUUGCCCGCGGCUUAUUUUUGGCACCCCGAGGCCCCUCGCAAAGUCUCGCCCCAUUCCGAUUCCGGCGGACGAACUUCGCACGCGCCCCCCACUAAGGCUAUAGCCCACCCGUUUUUUGGCCAUUUUUCCGCUGGGGGGUUUUGGCACCACGACCUUCGGGUGCUUAUUUUUGGACGCGGCUGUGCCCGCGACUUCCCGCAGGCACCCCGAGGCCCCUCGCAAAGUCACGCCCCAUUCUGAGUCCGGCGGACGAACUUCGCCCGCGCCCCCCACCAAGGCUAUAGCCCACCCGUUUUUUGGCCAUUUUUCCGCUGGGGGGUUUUGGCACCACGACCUUCAGGCGCUUAUUUUUGGUGCGCCGAGGCCCCUCGCAAAGUCUCGCCCCAUUCCGAGCCCGGCGGACGAACUUCGCCCGCGCCCCCCACCAAGGCUAUAGCCCACCCGUUUUUUGGCCAUUUUUCCGCUGGGGGGUUUUGGCACCACGACCUUCAGGCGCUUAUUUUUGGGCGCGGCUUUGCCCGCGGCUUAUUUUUGGUGCGCCGAGGCCCCUCGCAAAGUCUCGCCCCAUUCCGAGUCCGGCGGACGAACUUCGCUCGCGCCCCCCACGAAGGCUAUAGGCCACCCCUUUUUUGGCCAUUUUUCCGCUGGCGGGUUUUGGCACCACGACCUUCGGGCGCUUAUUUUUGGGCGCGGCUUUGCCCGCGGCUUAUUUUUGGCGCCCCGAGGCUCCUCGCAAAGUCUCGCCCCAUUCCGAGUCCGGCGCACGAACUUCGCCCGCGCCCCCCACCAAGGCUAUAGCCCACCCGUUUUUUGGCCAUUUUUCCGCUGGGGGGUUUUGGCACCAUGACCUUCGGGCGCUUAUUUCUGGACGCGGCUGUGCCCGCGACUUCCCGCGGGCACCCCGAGGCCCCUCGCAAAGUCUCGCCCCAUUCCGAGUCCGGCGGACGAACUUCGCCCGCGCCCCCCACCAAGGCUAUAGCCCACCCGUUUUUUGGCCAUUUUUCCGCUGGGGGGUUUUGGCACCACGACCUUCGGGCUCUUAUUUCUGGACGCGGCUGUGCCCGCGACUUCCCGCGGGCACCCCGAGGCCCCUCGCAAAGUCUCGCCCCAUUCCGAGUCCGGCGGACGAACUUCGCCCGCGCCCCCCACCAAGGCUAUAGCCCACCCAUUUUUUGGCCAUUUUUCCGCUGGGGGGUUUUGGCAACACGACCUUCGGGCACUUAUUUUUGGGCGCGGCGUUGCCCGCGGCUUAUUUUGGGCACCCCGAGGCCCCUCGCAAAGUCUCGCCCCAUUCCGAGUCCGGCGGACGAACUUCGCCCGCGCCCCCCACCAAGGCUAUAGCCCACCCGUUUUUUGGCCAUUUUUCCGCUGGGGGGUUUUGGCACCACGACCAUCGGGCUCUUAUUUUUGGACGCGGCUUGUCCAGCGACUUCCCGCGGGCACCCCGAGGCCCCUCGCAAAGUCUCGCCCCAUUCCGAGUCCGGCGGACGAACUUCGCCCGCGCCCCCCACCAAGGCUAUAGCCCACCCGUUUUUUGGCCAUUUUUCCGCUGGGGGGUUUUGGCACCACGACCUUCGGGCACUUAUUUUUGGACGCAGCUGUGCCCGCGACUUCCCGCGAGCACCCCGAAGCCCCUCGCAAAGUCUCGCCCCAUUCCGAGUCCGGCGGACGAACUUCGCCCGCGCCCCCCACCAAGGCUAUAGCCCACCCGUUUUUUGGCCAUUUUUCCGCUGGGGGGUUUUGGCACCACGACUUUCGGGCGCUUAUUUUUGGGCGCGGCUUUGCCCGCAGCUUAUUUUUGGCGCCCCGAGGCCCUGCACAAAGUCUCGCCCCAUUCCGAGUCCGGCGGACGAACUUCGCCCGCGCCCCCCACCAAGGCUAUAGCCCAGCCGUCUUUUGGCCAUUUUUCCGCUGGGGGGUUUUGGCACCACGACCUUCAGGCGCUUAUUUUUGGGCGCAGCUUUGCCCACGGCUUAUUUUUGGUGCCCCGAUGCCCCUCGCAAAGUCUCGCCCCAGUCCGAGUCCGGCGGACGAACUUCGCCCGCGCCCCCCACCAAGGCUAUAGCCCACCCGUUUUUUGGCCAUUUUUCCGCUGGGGGGUUUUGGCACCACGACCUUCGGGCGCUUAUUUCUGGACGCGGCUGUGCCCGCGACUUCCCGCGGGCACCCCGAGGCCCCUCGCAAAGUCUCGCCCCANNNNNNNNNNNNNNNNNNNNNNNNNNNNNNNNNNNNNNNNNNNNNNNNNNNNNNNNNNNNNNNNNNNNNNNNNNNNNNNNNNNNNNNNNNNNNNNNNNNNCCAACCCGUUUUUUGGCCAAUUUUCCGCUGGGGGGGUUUUGGCACCACGACCUUCGGGCUCUUAUUUCUGGACGCGGCUGUGCCCGUGACUUCCCGCGGGCACCCCGAGGCCCCUCGCAAAGUCUCGCCACAUUCCGAGUCCGGCGGACGAACUUCGCCCGCGCCCCCCACCAAGGCUAUAGCCCACCCGUUUUUUGGCCAUUUUUCCGCUGGGGGGUUUUGGCAACACGACCUUCGGGCGCUUAUUUUUGGACACGGCUGUGCCCGCGACUUCCCGCGGGCACCCCAAGGCCCCUCGCAAAGUCUCGCCCCAUUCCGAGUCCGGCGGACGAACUUCGCCCGCGCCCCCCACCAAGGCUAUAGCCCACCCGUUUUUUGGCCAUUUUUCCGCUGGGGGGUUUUGGCACCACGACCUUCGGGCGCUUAUUUUUGGACGCGGCUGUGCCCGCGACUUCCCGCGGGCACCUCGAGGCCCCUCGCAAAGUCUCGCCCCAUUCCGAGUCCGGCGGACGAACUUCGCCCGCGCCCCCCACCAAGGCUAUAGCCCACCCGUUUUUUGGCCAUUUUUCCGCUGGGGGGUUUUGGCACCACGACCUUUGGGCGCUUAUUUUUGGGCGCGGCUUUGUCCGCGGCUUAUUUUUGGCACCCCGAGGCCCCUAGCAAAGUCUCGCCCCAUUCCGAGUCCGGCGGACGAACUUCGCCCGCGCCCCCCACCAAGGCUAUAGCCCACCCGUUUUUUGGCCAUUUUUCCGCUGGGGGGUUUUGGCACCACGACCUUCGGGCGCUUAUUUUUGGGCACGGCUUUGCCCGCGGCUUAUUUUUGGUGCCCCGAGGCCCCUCGCAAAGUCUCGCCCCAUUCCGAGUCCGGCAGACGAACUUCGCCCGCGCCCCCCACCAAGGCUAUAGCCCACCCGUUUUUUGGCCAUUUUUCCGCUGGGGGGGUUUUGGCACCACGACCUUCGGGCGCUAAUUUUUGGGUGCGGCUGUGCCCGCGACUUCCCGCGGGCACCCCGAGGCCCCUCGCAAAAUCUCGCCCCAUUCCGAGUCCGGCGGACGAACUUCGCCCGCGCCCCCCACCAAGGCUAUAGCCCACCCGUUUUUUGGCCAUUUUUCCGCUGGGGGGUUUUGGCACCACGACCAUCGGGCGCUUAUUUUUGGGCGCGGCUGUGCCCGCGACUUCCCGCGGGCACCCCGAGGCCCCUCGCAAAGUCUCGCCCCAUUCCGAGUCCGGCGGACGAACUUCGCCCGCGCCCCCCACCAAGGCUAUAGCCCACCCGUUUUUUGGCCAUUUUUCCGCUCGGGGGUUUUGGCACCACGACCUUCGGGUGCUUAUGUUUGGGCGCGGCUUUGCCCGCGGCUUAUUUUUGGCACCCCGAGGCCCCUUGCAAAGUCUCGCCCCAUUCCGAGUCCGGCGGACGAACUUCGCCCGCGCCCCCCACCAAGGCUAUAGCCCACCCGUUUUUUGGCCAUUUUUCCGCUGGGAGGUUUUGGCACCACGACCUUCGGGCGCUUAUUUUUGGGCGCGGCUUUGCCCGCGGCUUAUUUUUGGCACCCCGAGGCCCCUCGCAAAGUCUCGCCGCAUUCCGAGUCCGGCGGACGAACUUCGCCCGCGCCCCCCACCAAGGCUAUAGCCCACCCGUUUUUUGGCCAUUUUUCCGCUGGGGGGUUUUGGCUCCACGACCUUCGGGCGCUUAUUUUUGGGCGCGGCUUUGCCCGCGGCUUAUUUUUGGCACCCCGAGGCCCCUCGCAAAGUCUUGCGGCAUUCCGAGUCCGGCGGACGAACUUCGCCCGCGCCCCCCACCAAGGCUAUAGCCCACCCGUUUUUUGGCCAUUUUUCCGCUGGGGGGUUUUGGCACCACGACCUUCGGGCGCUUAUUUUUGGGCGCGGCUUGGCCCGCGGCUUAUUUUUGGCACCCCGAGGCCCCUCGCAAAGUCUCGCCCCAUUCCGAGUCCGGCGGACGAACUUCGCCCGCGCCCCCCACCAAGGCUAUAGCCCACCCGUUUUUUGGCCAUUUUUCCGGUGGGGGGUUUUGGCACCACGACCUUCGGGCGCUUAUUUCUGGGCGCGGCUUUGCCCGCGGCUUAUUUUUGGCACCCCGAGGCCCCUCGCAAAGUCUCGCCGCAUUCCGAGUCCGGCGGACGAACUUCGCCCGCGCCCCCCACCAAGACUAUAGCCCACCCGUUUUUUGGCCAUUUUUCCGCUGGGGGGUUUUGGCACCACGACCUUCGGGCGCUUAUUUUUGGGCGCGGCUUUGCCCGGGGCUUAUUUUUGGCACGCCGAGGCCCCUCGCAAAGUCUCGCCGCAUUCCGAGUCCGGCGGACGAACUUCGCCCGCGCCCCCCACCAAGGCUAUAGCCCACCCGUUUUUUGGCCAUUUUUCCGCUGGGGGGUUUUGGCACCACGACCUUCGGGCGCUUAUUUUUGGGCGCGGCUUUGCCCGCGGCUUAUUUUUGGCACCCCGAGGCCCCUCGCAAAGUCUCGCCGCAUUCCGAGUCCGGCGGACGAACUUCGCCCGCGCCCCCCACCAAGGCUAUAGCCCACCCGUUUUUUGGCCAUUUUUCCGCUGGGGGGUUUUGGCACCACGACCUUCGGGCGCUUAUUUUUGGGCGCGGCUUUGCCCGCGGCUUAUUUUUGGCACCCCGAGGCCCCUCGCAAAGUCUCGCCGCAUUCCGAGUCCGGCGGACGAACUUCGCCCGCGCCCCCCACCAAGGCUAUAGCCCACCCGUUUUUUGGCCAUUUUUCCGCUGGGGGGUUUUGGCACCACGACCUUCGGGCGCUUAUUUUUGGGCGCGGCUUUGCCCGCGGCUUAUUUUUGGCACCCCGAGGCCCCUCGCAAAGUCUCGCCGCAUUCCGAGUCCGGCGGACGAACUUCGCCCGCGCCCCCCACCAAGGCUAUAGCCCACCCGUUUUUUGGCCAUUUUUCCGCUGGGGGGUUUUGGCACCACGACUUUCGGGCGCUUAUUUUUGGGCGCGGCUUUGCCCGCGGCUUAUUUUUGGCACCCCGAGGCCCCUCGCAAAGUCUCGCCGCAUUCCGAGUCCGGCGGACGAACUUCGCCCGCGCCCCCCACCAAGGCUAUAGCCCACCCGUUUUUUGGCCAUUUUUCCGCUGGGGGGUUUUGGCACCACGACCUUCGGGCGCUUAUUUUUGGGCGCGGCUUUGCCCGCGGUUUAUUUUUGGCACCCCGAGGCCCCUCGCAAAGUCUCGUCGCAUUCCGAGUCCGGCGGACGAACUUCGCCCGCGCCCCCCACCAAGGCUAUAGCCCACCCGUUUUUUGGCCAUUUUUCCGCUGGGGGGUUUUGGCACCACGACCUUCGGGCGCGGCUUUGCCCGCGGCUUAUUUUUGGCACCCCGAGGCCCCUCGCAAACUCUCGCCCCAUUCCGAGUCCGGCGGACGAACUUCGCCCGCGCCCCCCGCCAAGGCUAUAGCCCACCCGUUUUUUGGCCAUUUUUCCGCUGGGGGGUUUUGGCACCACGACCUUCGGGCGCUUAUUUCUGGGCGCGGCUUUGCCCGCGGCUUAUUUUUGGCACCCCGAGGCCCCUCGCAAAGUCUCGCCGCAUUCCGAGUCCGGCGGACGAACGUCGCCCGCGCCCCCCACCAAGGCUAUAGCCCACCCGUUUUUUGGCCAUUUUUCCACUCGGGGGUUUUGGCACCACGACCUUCGGGCACUUAUGUUUGGGCGCGGCUUUGCCCGCGGCUUAUUUUUGGCACCCCGAGGCCCCUCGCAAAGUCUCGCCCCAUUCCGAGUCCGGCGGACGAACUUCGCCCGCGCCCCCCACCAAGGCUAUAGCCCACCCGUUUUUUGGCCAUUUUUCCGCUGGGGGGUUUUGGCACCACGACCUUCGGGCGCUUAUUUUUGGGCGCGGCUUUGCCCCCGGCUUAUUUUUGGUACCCCGAGGCCCCUCGCAAAGUCUCGCCCCAUUCCGAGUCCGGCGGACGAACUUCGCCCGCGCCCCCCACCAAGGCUAUAGCCCACCCGUUUUUGGGCCAUUUUUCCGCUGGGGGGUUUUGGCACCACGACCUUCGGGCGCUUAAUUUUGGGCACGGCUUUUCCCGCGGCUUAUUUUUGGCACCCCGAGGCCCCUCGCAAAGUCUCGCCCCAUUCCGAGUCCGGCGGACGAACUUCGCCCGCCCCCCCCACCAAGGCUAUAGCCCACCCAUUUUUUGGCCAUUUUUCCGCUGGGGGUUUUGGCAGCACGACCUUCAGGCCCUUAUUUUUGGGCGCGGCUUAUUUUUGGCACCCCGAGGCCCCUCGUAAAGUCUCGCCCCAUUCCGAGUCCGGGGGACGAACUUCGCCCGCGCCCCCCACCAAGGCUAUAGCCCACCCGUUUUUUGGCCAUUUUUCCGCUGGGGGGUUUUGGCGCCACGACCUUCGGGCGCUUAUUUUUGGGCGCGGCUUUGCCCGCGGCUUAUUUUUUGCCCCCCGAGGCCCCUCGCGAAGUCUCGCCCCAUUCCGAGUCCGGCGGACGAACUUCGCCCGCGCUCCCCACCAAGGUCAUAGCCCACCCGUUUUUUGGCCAUUUUUCCGCUGGGGGGUUUUGGCACCAUGACCUUCGGGCGCUUAUUUUUGGGCGCGGCUUUGCCCGGGCUUAUUUUUGGCACCACGAGGCACCUCGCAAAGUCUCGGCCCAUUCCGAGUCCGGCGGACGAAAUUCGCCCGCGCCCCACACCAAGGCUAUAGCCCACCCGUUUUUUGGCCAUUUUUCCGCUGGGGGGUUUUGGCACCACGACCUUCGGGCGCUUAUUUUUGGGCGCGGCUUUGCCCCCGGCUUAUUUUUGGUACCCCGAAGCCCCUCGCAAAGUCUCGCCCCAUUCCGAGUCCGGCGGACGAACUUCGCCCGCGCCCCCCACCAAGGCUAUAGCCCACCCGUUUUUUGGCCAUUUUUCCGCUGGGGGGUUUUGGCACCACGACCUUCGGGCGCUUAUUUUUGGGCACGGCUUUUCCCGCGGCUUAUUUUCAGCACCCCGAGGCCCCUCGCAAAGUCUCGCCCCAUUCCGAGUCCGGCGGACGAACUUCGCCCGCGCCCCCCACCAAGGCUAUAGCCCACCCAUUUUUUGGCCAUUUUUCCGCUGGGGGUUUUGGCACCACGACCUUCAGGCCCUUAUUUUUUGGCGCGGCUUAUUUUUGGCACCCCGAGGCCCCUCGUAAAGUCUCGCUCCAUUCCGAGUCGGGCGGAACGAACUUCGCCCGCGCCCCCCACCAAGGCUAUAGCCCACCCGUUUUUUGGCCAUUUUUCCGCUGGGGGGGUUUGGCCCCACGACCCUCGGCAGCUUAUUUUUGGGCGCGGUUUUGCUCGCGGCUUAUUUUUGGGCACCCAAGGCCCCCCCCAAUGCCUCCCCCCAUUCCGAGUCCGGGGGAAGAACUUCCCCCGCCCCCCCNNNNNNNNNNNNNNNNNNNNNNNNNNNNNNNNNNNNNNNNNNNNNNNNNNNNNNNNNNNNNNNNNNNNNNNNNNNNNNNNNNNNNNNNNNNNNNNNNNNNNNNNNNNNNNNNNNNNNNNNNNNNNNNNNNNNNNNNNNNNNNNNNNNNNNNNNNNNNNNNNNNNNNNNNNNNNNNNNNNNNNNNNNNNNNNNNNNNNNNNNNNNNNNNNNNNNNNNNNNNNNNNNNNNNNNNNNNNNNNNNNNNNNNNNNNNNNNNNNNNNNNNNNNNNNNNNNNNNNNNNNNNNNNNNNNNNNNNNNNNNNNNNNNNNNNNNNNNNNNNNNNNNNNNNNNNNNNNNNNNNNNNNNNNNNNNNNNNNNNNNNNNNNNNNNNNNAUAGCCCACCCGUUUUUUGGCCAUUUUUCCGCUGGGGGGUUUUGGCACCACAACCUUCGGGCGCUGAUUUUUGGGCGCGUCUUUGCCCGCCGCUUAUUUUGGCUUCCCGAAGGCCCCCCCAAAGUCUCGCCCCAUUCCGAGUCCGGCGGACGAACUUCGCCCGCGCCCCCCACCAAGGCUAUAGCCCACCCGUUUUUUGGCCAUUUUUCCGCUGGGGGGUUUUGGUUGCCACGACCUUCGGGCGCUUAUUUUUGGGCGCGGCUUUGCCCGCGGCUUAUUUUUGGCACCCCGAGGCCCCUCGCAAUGUCUCGCCCCAUUCCGAGUCCGGCGGACGAACUUCGCCCGCCCCCCCCACCAAGGCUAUAGCCCACCCGUUUUUUGGCCAUUUUUCCGCUGGGGGGUUUUGGCACCCGACCUUCGGGCGCUGCUUUUUGGGCGCGGCUUUGCCCUUGGCUUAUUUUUGGCACCCCGAGGCCCCUCGCAAAGUCUCGCCCCAUUCCGAGUCCGGCGGACGAACUUCGCCCGCGCCCCCCACCAAGGCUAUAGCCCACCCGUUUUUUGGCCAUUUUUCCGCUGGGGGGUUUUGGCGCCACGACCUUCGGGCGCUUAUUUUUGGGCGCGGCUUUGCCCGCGGCUUAUUUUUGGCACCCCGAGGCCCCUCGCAAAGUCUCGCCCCAUUCCGAGUCCGGCGGACGAACUUCGCCCGCCCCCCCCCACCAAGGCUAUAGCCCACCCGUUUUUUGGCCAUUUUUCCGCUAGGGGGUUUUGGCACCACGACCUUCGGGCGCUGAUUUUUGGGCGCGGCUUUGCCCGCGGCUUAUUUUUGGCACCCCGAGGCCCCUCGCAAAGUCUCGCCCCAUUCCGAGUCCGGCGGACGAACUUCGCCC